AGUGAACGCUGGCGGUAGGCCUAACACAUGCAAGUCGAACGGCAGCACAGUAAGAGCUUGCUCUUACGGGUGGCGAGUGGCGGACGGGUGAGGAAUACAUCGGAAUCUACUUUUUCGUGGGGGAUAACGUAGGGAAACUUACGCUAAUACCGCAUACGACCUACGGGUGAAAGCAGGGGAUCUUCGGACCUUGCGCGAUUGAAUGAGCCGAUGUCGGAUUAGCUAGUUGGCGGGGUAAAGGCCCACCAAGGCGACGAUCCGUAGCUGGUCUGAGAGGAUGAUCAGCCACACUGGAACUGAGACACGGUCCAGACUCCUACGGGAGGCAGCAGUGGGGAAUAUUGGACAAUGGGCGCAAGCCUGAUCCAGCCAUCCCGCGUGGGUGAAGAAGGCCUUCGGGUUGUAAAGCCCUUUUGUUGGGAAAGAAAAGCAGCAGGUUAAUACCCCGCUGUUCUGACGGUACCCAAAGAAUAAGCACCGGCUAACUUCG
rnacentral:rRNA from 1 species